GCUUCGCUCGUGUGCAGUGAAAAUCCUUUUUUGCAAAAAAAGAUUGCAACGCAUAGCCGGAAAAAGC
rnacentral:sRNA from 1 species